rnacentral:rRNA from 1 species
UGGGGAAUAUUGCACAAUGGGCGAAAGCCUGAUGCAGCGACGCCGCGUGAGGGAUGACGGCCUUCGGGUUGUAAACCUCUUUCAGCAGGGACGAAGCGCAAGUGACGGUACCUGCAGAAGAAGCACCGGCUAACUACGUGCCAGCAGCCGCGGUAAUCCGUAGGGUGCAAGCGUUGUCCGGAAUUACUGGGCGUAAAGAGUUCGUAGGCGGUUUGUCGCGUCGUUUGUGAAAACCAGCAGCUCAACUGCUGGCUUGCAGGCGAUACGGGCAGACUUGAGUACUGCAGGGGAGACUGGAAUUCCUGGUGUAGCGGUGAAAUGCGCAGAUAUCAGGAGGAACACCGGUGGCGAAGGCGGGUCUCUGGGCAGUAACUGACGCUGAGGAACGAAAGCGUAGGUAGCGAACAGG